rnacentral:rRNA from 1 species
AGAGUUUGAUCCUGGCUCAGAACGAACGCUGGCGGCAGGCUUAACACAUGCAAGUCGAACGGGCCCUUCGGGGUCAGUGGCAGACGGGUGAGUAACACGUGGGAACGUACCCUUUUGUUCGGAAUAACCCAGGGAAACUUGGGCUAAUACCGGAUACGCCCUUUUGGGGAAAGAUUUAUCGCAGAAGGAUCGGCCCGCGUCUGAUUAGCUAGUUGGUGAGGUAAAGGCUCACCAAGGCGACGAUCAGUAGCUGGUCUGAGAGGAUGAUCAGCCACACUGGGACUGAGACACGGCCCAGACUCCUACGGGAGGCAGCAGUGGGGAAUAUUGGACAAUGGGCGCAAGCCUGAUCCAGCCAUGCCGCGUGAGUGAUGAAGGCCUUAGGGUUGUAAAGCUCUUUCGGCGGGGACGAUAAUGACGGUACCCGCAGAAGAAGCCCCGGCUAACUUCGUGCCAGCAGCCGCGGUAAUACGAAGGGGGCUAGCGUUGUUCGGAAUCACUGGGCGUAAAGGGCGCGUAGGCGGCUUUGUAAGUCGGGGGUGAAAGCCUGUGGCUCAACCACAGAAUUGCCUUCGAUACUGCAUGGCUUGAGACCGGAAGAGGUAAGUGGAACUGCGAGUGUAGAGGUGAAAUUCGUAGAUAUUCGCAAGAACACCAGUGGCGAAGGCGGCUUACUGGUCCGGUUCUGACGCUGAGGCGCGAAAGCGUGGGGACAAACAGGAUUAGAUACCCUAGUAGUCC